ACAUCCAAGUCUAGUAACUAAGUAGGCUAGUAGUCUGUCGACCUGAGAGUUGUUACAAGUCUAGUAACUAAGUAGGCUAGUAGUCGGUCGACCUGAGAGUUGUUAGAAGUCUAAUAACUAAGUAGGCUAGCUAGUAGUCGGUCGACCUGAGAGUUGUUACAAGUCUAAUAACUAAGUAGGCUAGUAGUCUGUCGACCUGAGAGUU